rnacentral:rRNA from 1 species
GAUGAACGCUGGCGGCGUGCCUAAUACAUGCAAGUCGAGCGAACAGACGAGGAGCUUGCUCCUCUGACGUUAGCGGCGGACGGGUGAGUAACACGUGGAUAACCUACCUAUAAGACUGGGAUAACUUCGGGAAACCGGAGCUAAUACCGGAUAACAUGUUGAAACGCAGGGUUCAACAGUGAAAGACGGUCUUGCUGUCACUUAUAGAUGGAUCCGCGCCGCAUUAGCUAGUUGGUAAGGUAACGGCUUACCAAGACAACGAUGCGUAGCCGACCUGAGAGGAUGAUCGGCCACACUGGAACUGAGACACGGUCCAGACUCCUACGGGAGGCAGCAGUCGGGAAUCUUCCGCAAUGGGCGAAAGCCUGACGGAGCAACGCCGCGUGAGUGAAGAAGGUCUUCGGAUCGUAAAACUCUUUUACUAGUGAAGAACAAAUGUAUAAGUAACUCUGCACGUCUUGACGUUACCUAGUCAGAAAGCCACGGCUAACUACGUG